rnacentral:misc_RNA from 1 species
AUUUUAAAAAAAUAUAUAUUAAAAAAAUUACAUUAAAAAUAAAAAAAAGUCCACUCUAAUAAUUAUCUUCAUGAUCAAAGCUUUGAUCAUAGGUGAAUUCCAUGCAUCUUCGCCGUCUCAAUCACUUCAAGUGGUCGGUGCCGGGUCUCGGGAAGAGGACUCUCCACCUCUUCCUCGCCGGGAAGUUUACUUUUUAGCUUGCGGUCAACAUAAACCAAUGGAAACUCCGGCAAGACAGGAACGUUCAAGUCAAAGUCAAGUUGACUAAUCAGGCUCGAAUUCAGAACUUCCAAUCCUUUAUUUUCAUUGUCACCGCUAUUUCCGCCGCCACUGUUACUUCCACCAUCAUAGUGGCGCCGUUUGUGUCCUCCCAAAGCCUGUCCGGAGGGAAAAGUUCUAUGGCAGAUGGAACAUUCGUGAGUCCUGCCACUUAAACUAACCGACGAGGGUGUUUUGGAAGUAGUAGUUACCAUAGGAGGGGUAGAUUGGUCGUCAACUACUCCCAUGAGUUUCCGAUGGCUAGCCUUGUGUCCACCUAGAGCCUGAUAAGUUGGGAAGGCUUUGUUGCAAACUUUGCACUUAUAGCUGAGUUUUAACGAUGGCGGGGGAGGUGGUGUGUCUUGGUGGUCGUGGGUGCCAUUGGCAAGCAUGAGAAGGCAGAGAGCUAAGUAUUCCUCCUCAGUAUGGGAAUCUUCCAAUUCCAAGCGUGAACGCUUAGUUCGUUUUCUCUUAACCCAAGGUUCAUGGGAAUGAAGGUCUAUAUCAUUAUGCAACAGAGAAGAUGGGGAAUUCAGAGCUUCAAGAGCCAUAUCAGCGAGAGUGAUGAUGGAGAAAAAGCAAGAGAAAUUGAAGUGAGUGAAGAAACAAAGAGGGAUGGUGUUAUUAAAUAAGAAGGUGACAGACGACGAUGAAGUGUGUUGGGUUUGUAAUUCUGGGAAAAUUGAGGAGGAAGGUGCUUGAUGAGUGGAAAGAAAAGAGGCGUGUGAACACUUGAUAUGAGUUGUUGGAGUGAAGUAAGGGGCGUGCUAAGUAUAUGAAGCAUGUUAAGACUAGUUCCGAGUCAGAGCAAAG